rnacentral:tRNA from 1 species
AUAAUAAUAGUUUUAAAACAUUAAAUUGCAAAUUUAAAAUAAAGAUAAUUAAGAAAU